GCGCCUCUCCCGCCACACCUCCCUGCAAGCUGAGGGAGCCGGCUCCUGCCUUGGCCAGGCUAGAAAGGGGCUCCCACAGUGCAGGGGCGGGCUGAAGGGCUCCUCAAGUGCCACCAAAGUGGGAGCCCAGGCAGAGGAGGUGCCGAGAGCGAGCGAGGGCUGCGAGGACUGCCAGCAGCUGUCACCUCUCGUUACCAUCACUCCUAGUGACCAUUUCGGAUAAUCCACCUUGCCUCAUCAAACCAGAAAACAAUUCAAACCUGGCCUCCUUCUAACUGGAAGCCACAUUUUAAGAACUUAUUGUGAAGAACUGGAAAGCCUCCAAUAGAACAGAAGCUAAAAGCAGAAAUUAUAAAAGCUGUUACACCUACUCAGCUC
rnacentral:lncRNA from 1 species